GGGGGGAGGCCGGAUCCCGGGCUGUGUCCUGGCGCCCUGAGCUCCGGGGCCUGCGCUGCUGGAUUCGUUCCGGCCGCGCAGCCCCUC
rnacentral:pre_miRNA from 1 species